rnacentral:rRNA from 1 species
AACGUAGGUGGCGAUCGUUAUCCGGAUUUACUGGGCGUAAAGGGUGUGCAGGCGGGCUGUUAAGUGGUGUAUGAAAUAUCCCGGCUCAACCGGGAAGGGUUAUGCCAGACUGGCAGUCUAGAGAGCGAGAGAGGGACGUGGAAUUCCCGGUGUAGUGGUGAAAUGCGUAGAUAUCGGGAGGAACACCAGUGGCGAAGGCGACUACCUGGCCUGUUCUUGACGCUGAGGCGCGAAAGCUAGGGGAGCAAACGGG